rnacentral:SRP_RNA from 1 species
UAUGGAGAGGACGCUAUGCCCCUCCUCCUCUCCUGCUCGCCCCCCACUUAGAGUAAAAUUUUCCGCUAAAUUUAGCGGGGAAAUUUUUUUGAUAAAUUUAGCGGGUAAAAUUUUCCGUUAAAUUUAGUGGGGAAAUUUUUCCGCUAAAUUUAGCGGGGAAUUUCUUCAGCUAAAUUAAGCAGGGAAAUCUUUCCGCUAAAUUUAGCGGGGAAAUCUUUCCGCUAAAAUUAGCGGAGAAAUUUUCCUGCUAAAAUUAGCGGAGAAAUUUU